rnacentral:rRNA from 1 species
AGUGAACGCUGGCGGCAGGCCUAACACAUGCAAGUCGAACGGCAGCACGGCAGUAGCAAUACUGUGGGUGGCGAGUGGCGGACGGGUGAGGAAUACAUCGGGAUCUACCCUGUUGUGGGGGAUAACGUAGGGAAACUUACGCUAAUACCGCAUAAGAACUGAGGUUGAAAGCGGCGGACCGCAAGGCGUCGCGCGAUUGGAUGAACCGAUGUCCGAUUAGCUAGUUGGCGGGGUAAAGGCCCACCAAGGCGACGAUCGGUAGCUGGUCUGAGAGGACGACCAGCCACACUGGAACUGAGACACGGUCCAGACUCCUACGGGAGGCAGCAGUGGGGAAUAUUGGACAAUGGGCGCAAGCCUGAUCCAGCCAUGCCGCGUGAGUGAAGAAGGCCUUCGGGUUGU